CUCCUCCUCCCGCCCUUUGACCUCCACCCUCCGGAGACGUGACCCUGCGGAGCGACAGGAGAGGGUCCCUCCUCGCCGACGCCUCAGAGAGCCUCCGCCUCGCGCCGGGACCUUGCACUUUUUCUUCCCCCUUUUUCUUCUUCCGUCAAAUUACCGAACGCACUCGGGAAAAGAAACAAAAACCUUUACCAGGGAACGCGAAAGCGGAAGGCUUUGGGUGCAAAAAAAAAAAAAAAAGGAAAAAAAGAAAAAAAAGAAAGCGUCUGCCUUGAACGGCCGACGUAAAGAGUGAAGGAUCUACCCUUUUUUCCUCCAGCCUUAUUUACUUUGUCGGCAUGCCUCCUCUUCAACUUUCUGCGUCCGUCACCAACCCCCCCCCUCCUGUCUUGAAAAAGUUUGCGGCUUGGGGGGAAACUUAAUUGUCUUUACUGCGCCACUGCGGAGCUGCACUGCAACCGCUUGAGCGGGAAGCGGGCGGGACGGUCUCUUCGGCCAGCGCUGCACCUGGGCUGAGCCAGUUGAAAGGGAACAAAAGAAAAAGGAAGGUACAGUGUGGCACCUCGGCUCUCGGCUACAGACCAGGGCCGUCUUCACGGCAGGUACACUCUGAGCACGUGCAAGAACAAAAGUGCCACUGAUGUUCAACCGAACGCUUUCUCCCGCUGAUGUGUCUGUUUUGGGACAAAGUUUGGGGACUAACACAGCGCGAGCAGGAAUGCUGGACAGAGGUCCUGGAAUGGGAAAAUGUUGAAAUGGCUGGAUGGAGACAGCGGAAUUACAACUGGACGGACACCGUUUCCUUCCGAUAAUGUGCCCAAGAUGCGUUACACAGAGAGGGGCGGGACCAGUCGACUACUUCCUAUGAGGAGACCAUAAAGAGAAAACUCCAGGCCUCUGACGCCUGGUCCUCACAAAAAAAAGGAAACACGAGGAAGGCAAAGUAAACAGAUUCUGCUGCCAAGACAUACCACCAUGAAGGUGUGUAAUAUACACACACACAGACAGAAAAACUAGGAUUGCUGAGAACUUGGGACUACAGAAAGACCAUGAUUGGUCUCGUUUCGUGCCUCUUUUUGCCCUAUCCCUCACACUGGCGCAUGCCUGCACACGUGAAAGCCCCUCUGCUGGCAAACGCACACGGGCCGGUGGUGCGGCGUGCCUGUACGGCUAUGUACAGUUACCUUUGUGCUCCUGUAAGUUAGUUUCAUUCUUCCACAUCCCACUCCUCCAUGCUUGCUUCUCCAUAAGAACUUCUGCAUCCCCCUCAGCAGGAGGGGGUUCUGCACUUGGGCCCUGUGACCCCAGCCACACUCCUCUAAGUUCACCUGCAGGGGGUGCCAUUCGCUGGGUGUCAACACACUGCAAGUUACACCGAGGGCGCCUCUCACUGCAGUUGCCACGGUAUGCAGCAGACUCACUUGCAGCGCUUGCUUGACGUCAUACAAUUUAGGCUAGAUGAAGAGCAGCACUGAGGAUAUGCCAAAUUACAAUCAGCGGACUAAAUGCUGAGCCUCACUCAUUCAUAUUCAUAGGCAAAAGAACAAAGGGACACCAAUGUAUUCAAAAAGCAUCAACAUAAUUCACAAACUAUAAACCUCUUUUAUUAACCCCGUUUCUCGUUUUUAAACACCUAGGCGGUAAUGAAUCGUCUUGGGUCAAGGGAAUUUGGACGGAGGUUGUGGCAGGGGCGCACUCUGAAGUGGAACAAAAACACAUACGAGGCGAGUCCUUUUGAUCAGCCUCAUUCCCUAACAAGCAUGGCACCGGAAU